rnacentral:rRNA from 1 species
GACAGAGGGUGCAAACGUUGCUCGGAAUUACUGGGCGUAAAGCGCGUGUAGGCGGGUCGGAAAGUCGGGCGUGAAAUCCCCAGGCUCAACCUGGGAACUGCACUCGAAACUUCCGGUCUAGAGUGGUGGAGAGGGAAGUGGAAUUCCUGGUGUAGGGGUGAAAUUCGUAGAUAUCAGGAGGAACACCAGUGGCGAAGGCGGCUUCCUGGACAC